rnacentral:rRNA from 1 species
GCGGCCUAUCAGCUUGUUGGUGAGGUAACGGCUCACCAAGGCUACGACGGGUAACCGGCCUGAGAGGGCGAACGGUCACACUGGGACUGAGACACGGCCCAGACUCCUACGGGAGGCAGCAGUGGGGAAUAUUGGGCAAUGGGCGGAAGCCUGACCCAGCGACGCCGCGUGAGGGAUGAAGGCCUUCGGGUUGUAAACCUCUUUCAGCAGGGAAGAAGCGAAAGUGACGGUACCUGCAGAAGAAGCACCGGCUAGCUAUGUGCCAGCAGCCGCGGUAAUACAUAGGGUGCAAGCGUUGUCCGGAAUUAUUGGGCGUAAAGAGCUCGUAGGUGGCUCGUCACGUCGAAUGUGAAACCCUGAGGCUCAACCUCAGGCCUGCAUCCGAUACGGGCGAACUGGAGUGUGGUAGGGGAGACUGGAAUUCCU